rnacentral:rRNA from 1 species
CGACACCUACGGGGCGCAGCAGUGAGGAAUAUUGGUCAAUGGGCGCGAGCCUGAACCAGCCACGUCGCGUGAGGGAAGACGGUCCUAUGGAUUGUAAACCUCUUUUGUCAGGGAGCAAAGGGCGCCACGUGUGGCGCUUUGCGAGUACCUGAAGAAAAAGCAUCGGCUAACUCCGUGCCAGCAGCCGCGGUAAUACGGAGGAUGCGAGCGUUAUCCGGAUUUAUUGGGUUUAAAGGGUGCGCAGGCGGAAUGUCAAGUCAGCGGUAAAAUUUCGGGGCUCAACCCCGUCGUGCCGUUGAAACUGG